CAGCCGCCGCGGUAACACGGAGGGAGCUAGCGUUGUUCGGAAUUACUGGGCGUAAAGCGCGCGUAGGCGGUUACUCAAGUCAGAGGUGAAAGCCCGGAGCUCAACUCCGGAACUGCCUUUGAGACUGCAUCACUUGAACGUCGGAGAGGUGAGUGGAAUUCCGAGUGUAGAGGUGAAAUUCGUAGAUAUUCGGAAGAACACCAGUGGCGAAGGCGGCUCACUGGACGACUGUUGACGCUGAGGUGCGAAAGCGUGGGGAGCAAACAGGAUUAGAUACCCCUGUAGUCCCUGUCUCUUAUAC
rnacentral:rRNA from 1 species